CUGCGGAGGGAUCAUUAAGAUGCGCCCAGCCUCUGCGCGCGGCGGCCCACCGGCUGCCGCGUGCACGCCCUGCAUCCUCGAUAUUACAGCACCUUGCGUUCUCCUUCGGCGGGUUAGCCCGCCGUUGGAAUUGAACUACACCCAACUUGCAAACAGCAUGCGCAUGGAUAGUACAACCUCUGUGUGGGGCCUUAAGCCCUUGCCGCCGAGUGAAUCUCGCGGCAAGUUCGGUGUCGGCCGCUAAGUACAAGCCUGGAACUCCGGGGUAGUUGGGACACGGCAUGGUACGGCUGUACCUGUUUCCCCUCCAACCCUUGCGUCCUCUGCUGUCAGUAAUAUUCAUACCCGUUCAGAAACAAACAAUCGUUACAACUUUCAACAAUGGAUCUCUUGGCUCUGGCAUCGAUGAAGAACGCAGCGAAAUGCGAUAAGUAGUGUGAAUUGCAGAAUUCAGUGAAUCAUCGAAUCUUUGAACGCACAUUGCGCCCCUCGGUAUUCCGUGGGGCAUGCCUGUUCGAGCGUCAUCUACACCCUCAAGCGCUGCUUGGUGUUGGGUGCCUGUCCCGCCUCCGCGCGCGGACUCACCCCAAAUGCAUUGGCGGCGGCCCGUGCCCCUCCCGCGCAGCACAUUGCGCUUCUCGAGGCGGCCAGCGGCCCGCGUCCACGAAGCCGACAACCCGUCUUUGACCUCGGAUCACGUAGGGAUACCCGCUGAACUUAAGCAUAUC
rnacentral:rRNA from 1 species